rnacentral:tRNA from 1 species
UGCUGGAUAGUGUAAUGGUCAACACAUCGCAUUUUGGCUGCGAUAGUUUCAGUUCGAUUCUGAAUCCGGCAA